AUUAGUUUAGGUGAUGGAGUUCGCCUUUAACCAUUGCGUCUUUGCAAUUAAUGACUCCUACUUAGAA
rnacentral:ncRNA from 2 species